ACUCCGGUUGAUCCUGCCGGACCCGACUGCUAUCGGAUUGAGAUUUAGCCAUGCGAGUCGAACGUCCCCCUGUUGCGGGGGGCGUGGCGUACGGCUCAGUAACACGUAGUCAACCUGCCCUGGAGACGCGGACAAACCCGGGAAACUGGGGCCUAUCCGCGAUAGAUGGCCUCAUCUGGAAGGAGAGGCCGUCCAAAAGGGCGCACGGGUAUGCUCUGUGCGAACCGCUCCAGGAUGGGACUGCGUCCGAUCAGGCUGUUGGCGGGGUAAUGGCCCACCAAACCUGUAA
rnacentral:rRNA from 1 species